GAAAUGCGAUAAGUAAUAUGAAUUGCAGAUUUUCGUGAAUCAUCGAAUCUUUGAACGCACAUUGCGCCCUCUGGUAUUCCAGAGGGCAUGCCUGUUUGAGCGUCAUUUCUCUCUCAAACCCCCGGGUUUGGUAUUGAGUGACACUCCUCUGACGAGGCGUCUGCUUGAAACGGAUUGGCAUGGGUAGCGCAUGUAACUGUGCUGUCGACCACUUCAAUGUAUUAGGUUUAUCCAACUCGUUGAACGGUUACAGAGCAGGGUUUGCGUGGAUAUGGCCCGGCCUUACAACAUCCUUUAAGUUUGACCUCAAAUCAGGUAGGACUACCCGCUGAACUUAA
rnacentral:misc_RNA from 1 species